rnacentral:tRNA from 1 species
GCCGAUGUGGUGAAAUUGGUAUACACGCUAGCUUCAGGAGCUAGUGACCUUCACAAGUCGUGGGAGUUCGAGUCUCCCCAUCGGCA